rnacentral:lncRNA from 10 species
AUCCAUAGGAUUUAUGGGACACCAGUAGGUAAACAGAUGUUCACCUUAGAGUGUUCCAGAAGAAGAGAUUGGAAAAGGUAUAUAAAACAUAUUUAAUCCUGCUUGCAGGUGACAGAUCUUAUAUAUAUAAAAACCUGAAAACUCCACCAAAACGUCUUAGAACUAAUAAAUGAAUUCAGUAAAGUUGCAAGAUACAAAAUCAACAUACAAAACUCAGUAGUAUUUCUCUACACUAAUUACAAACUAGCUGAAAAAGAAAUCAAGACAGCAAUCUCAUUUACUAUAGCUAUAAAAAAUGAGACACCUGGAAAUAAAUCUAACCAAGGAGGUGAAAGACCUCUACAAGGAAACCUAUAAAACAUUGAUGAAAUAAAUUGAAAAGGUUACAAACAAAUGGAAAGAUAUCCCAUACUCAUGGAUAGAAAUAAUUAAUAUCAUUAACAUGAUCAUAUGACCCAAAGCCACCU